CGCCGCCGCGGAGUACGGGGGAGGCAAGCGUUGUUCGGAUUUACUGGGCGUAAAGGGCGCGUAGGCCGGCCACCGCAAGUCAGUUGUGAAAUCUCUGGGCUUAACCCAGAAAGGUCAACUGAUACUGCGGGGCUAGAGUGCAGAAGGGGCAACUGGAAUUCUCAGUGUAGCGGUGAAAUGCGUAGAUAUCGAGAGGAACACCUGCGGCGAAGGCGGGUUGCUGGGCUGACACUGACGCUGAAGCGCGAAAGCUAGGGGAGCGAACGGG
rnacentral:rRNA from 1 species